AUCCAGCUGACGAGUUCCAAAUAGAACGAAACACACGUCAAUCAU
rnacentral:hammerhead_ribozyme from 1 species